rnacentral:lncRNA from 1 species
GAACAAAUCUGACUUUUUUUCUAUCUGAAAGAAUUGAAAGCAAAAUAAUCCUCAGAUAUAAUGAACUUGAUAUCCUGUUAAGCUCCAAGCUGGUUAUAGAAUCUUUCAUUACCACAAAAUGUAUCAGCUCAAUAUCUCAUUCUACUUUUAGUGUCUCCUAAAGAGAUCACUGGUACAAGGAAAUUGAAAUAGCAAUCAAAACUGUUGUCUUUUUGUCUCAUCCCAACAUAUGUGCUCCUGAGCAUUGUUACAUAGAAGAUUGCUCCUGAACUGAGAGUGCUGAGAUCUUAAAUCUUCUCCAUCUGAUCUGAACAAGGGUUUCAAGGGAUCUGAACUGCAUGGUUUUGGAGAUAAAAUUUACAAAAUAGAGAUAAAUAAACCGAAGAAUAUUCCUCUCAUUUUCAAAGUGAUAGAAAUGGAAGAAGAUAUCUGAAGUCCUAAAGUACUCUGUUAUAGCAAAUAUGAUGAAGAACUUUCUGAGCUUGAGAAUAACAGAGAGUUCUUUUGAAAAUAAGCCUCCUAGAGACACUGGAACAACCCAGAUGUGCACAAAUUCAGUUUCAAGGAAUCCUUCAACAUGACUGUAAUUCCUUCAUAUAUGCUCUUGCAUUAUGACUACAGAGAAGUGUGUGCUGGAAUUAUUGCUGAUGCAGAAAGAAGCAAAAAGGACUCGCAGUAGACGGUUGUUCUUUCAGAUCUGCAAAGACAUCUGGUCCUGAGUUGUAACUAUACAAAAUAUAGUGACACCUGCUCUUCUUCACUACUGGACUCUGUAGGCAACAACAUUACAUUGUAAAGAUAGAUAAAGUAAAAUAAAGAAGGGGGGCA